UACGAAGGGGGCUAGCGUUGCUCGGAAUCACUGGGCGUAAAGCGCACGUAGGCGGAUUGUUAAGUCAGGGGUGAAAUCCUGGAGCUCAACUCCAGAACUGCCUUGAUACUGGCGAUCUCGAGUCCGGGAGAGGUGAGUGGAACUGCGAGUGUAGAGGUGAAAUUCGUAGAUAUUCGCAAGAACACCAGUGGCGAAGGCGGCUCACUGGCCCGGUACUGACGCUGAGGUGCGAAAGCGUGGGGAGCAAACAGGG
rnacentral:rRNA from 1 species